UGGGGAAUAUUGCACAAUGGGCGCAAGCCUGAUGCAGCCAUGCCGCGUGUAUGAAGAAGGCCUUCGGGUUGUAAAGUACUUUCAGCGGGGAGGAAGGGAGUAAAGUUAAUACUUUUGCUCAUUGACGUUACCCGCAGAAGAAGCACCGGCUAACUCCGUGCCAGCAGCCGCGGUAAUACGGAGGGUGCAAGCGUUAAUCGGAAUUACUGGGCGUAAAGCGCACGCAGGCGGGUGAUUGAGUCAGAUGUGAAAUCCCCGGGCUUAACCCGGGAAUUGCAUCUGAUACUGGUCAGCUAGAGUCUUGUAGAGGGGGGUAGAAUUCCAUGUGUAGCGGUGAAAUGCGUAGGGAUGUGGAGGAAUACCGGUGGCGAAGGCGGCCCCCUGGACAAAGACUGACGCUCAGGUGCGAAAGCGUGGGGAGCAAACAGG
rnacentral:rRNA from 1 species